rnacentral:tRNA from 1 species
GAGGGUGUAGCUCAGUGGUAGAGUAUGUGCCUAGCAUGCAGGAGGUCCUGGGUUCAAUCCCCAGUCCCUCCA